rnacentral:tmRNA from 1 species
GGGGGCGAUCGGUUUCGACUGCUUGUGUGGAGCCUGGAGAAGCGUGCCGAGGGAUGCGGUGACGGCCUCGUGAAUCUGAGCACCGUAAACGAUGAAUGCCGACAAUGAGCCGGCCGUGCGUGACACCUACAGCCUUGCUGCCUGAGAGCAGCCGGGUGGUGUGAGCACUGUCAGCCCGGGAAGCCUCCGGCCCGGGAUCUGGCAUCAGCGAGGAGGAUCCACUUCCGGACCCGGCUGCGGGGCCCGGAAGGACACUCCACAGCAGCUGGGCCGACCGGCAGCGGGUCCGCACGACCGCCGGAGGCCGAGAAAAACAGCACGCGGACUGCGCACGGAGAAGAACUGGCAAAGCCCUGCAGGACCCGGGUUCGAUUCCCGGCGCCUCCACGU